rnacentral:rRNA from 1 species
GAUGAACGCUGGCGGCGUGCCUAAUACAUGCAAGUCGAGCGAACGGACGAGAAGCUUGCUUCUCUGAUGUUAGCGGCGGACGGGUAAGUAACACGUGGAUAACCUACCUAUAAGACUGGGAUAACUUCGGGAAACCGGAGCUAAUACCGGAUAAUAUUUUGAACCGCAUGGUUCAAAAGUGAAAGACGGUCUUGCUGUCACUUAUAGAUGGAUCCGCGCUGCAUUAGCUAGUUGGUAAGGUAACGGCUUACCAAGGCAACGAUGCAUAGCCGACCUGAGAGGGUGAUCGGCCACACUGGAACUGAGAACCGGUCCAGACUCCUACGGGAGGCAGCAGUAGGGAAUCUUCCGCAAUGGGCGAAAGCCUGACGGAGCAACGCCGCGUGAGUGAUGAAGGUCUUCGGAUCGUAAAACUCUGUUAUUAGGGAAGAACAUAUGUGUAAGUAACUGUGCACAUCUUGACGGUACCUAAUCAGAAAGCCACGGCUAACUACGU